UUAUAAGAGACAGCAGCAGCCACGGUAAUACGGAGGGUGCAAGCGUUAAUCGGAAUUACUGGGCGUAAAGCGCACGCAGGCGGUCUGACAAGUCAGAUGUGAAAUCCCCGGGCUUAACCUGGGAACUGCAUUUGAAACUGUCAGGCUGGAGUCUUGUAGAGGGGGGUAGAAUUCCAGGUGUAGCGGUGAAAUGCGUAGAGAUCGGGAGGAACAUCAGUGGCGAAGGCGGCCAUCUGGGACAACACUGACGCUGAGGCACGAAAGCGUGGGGAGCAAACAGGAUUAGAGACCCCGGUAGUCCCUGUCUCUUAUAA
rnacentral:rRNA from 1 species